rnacentral:misc_RNA from 1 species
GAUGAAGAACGUAGCGAAAUGCGAUAAGUAAUGUGAAUUGCAGAAUUCAGUGAAUCAUCGAAUCUUUGAACGCACCUUGCACCCUUUGGCAUUCCGAAGGGUAUGCUCGUUUGAGUGUCAUUGUACUCUCACACUUCCAAUUCUUUGGAUUGGGAGCGGUGGACUUGGGUGCUGCUGCUUAACUGUGGCUCGCCUUAAAUGAAGUAGUGCAACUCUCGGUUGGACAUAGUACGGCGUGAUAAGUGUCUUCGCCGGCGCCUCAUUCGAGGGUGGCCGAUCGGGAGCUCUGUGCUUCAAACUGUCUUCGGACAACAUCUGACAACUUGACCUCAAAUCGAGUAGGACUACCCGCUGAACUUAAGCAUAUCAAUAAGCGGAGGA